UAACGAAUAGCUCAGUAGGUAGAGCAUAUGCCUGUAACGCAUAAUGUCGAGGGUUCAAUUCCCUCUUCGUGAA
rnacentral:tRNA from 1 species